rnacentral:tRNA from 1 species
GGUGGGAUACCCAAGUGGCCAAAGGGAGCGGUCUGUAAAAUCGUUGGCUCAGCCUUCGAAGGUUCGAAUCCUUCUCCCACCACCA